rnacentral:rRNA from 1 species
AGCAACCCAGUGAACUGAAACAUCUAAGUAGCUGGAGGAGGAGAAAACAAAAGUGAUUCCGUUAGUAGUGGCGAGCGAACGCGGAAGAGUCCAAACCAAUGUUGUUUCGGCAAUGUUGGGGUUGUAGGACCACGACAUUUGAUGCUAAGUGAAUUAGAACGCUUUGGAAAGAGCGACCAUAGAGGGUGAUAGUCCCGUACAAGUAAGCGAAGUUAUUGAUAGUGGUAUCCUGAGUAGCGCGGGGCACGUGAAACCUUGUGUGAAUCCGGCGGGACCAUCCGCCAAGACUAAAUACUCCUGAGAGACCGAUAGUGAACUAGUACCGUGAGGGAAAGGUGAAAAGAACCCUGAAUAAGGGAGUGAAAUAGAUCCUGAAACCAUACGCUUACAAGCGGUCGGAGCCCUUUGGGGUGACGGCGUGCCUUUUGCAUAAUGAGCCUACGAGUUACUUUUACUAGCAAGGUUAAGCACUUCAGGUGCGGAUCCGUAGCGAAAGCGAGUCUGAAUAGGGCGCCAUAGUUAGUAGUAGUAGACGCGAAACCGUGUGAUCUACCCAUGGGCAGGUUGAAGCUUUGUUAACCCAAAGUGGAGGACCGAACCCGUUGACGUUGAAAAGUCUUGGGAUGACCUGUGGGUAGGGGUGAAAGGCCAAUCAAACUCGGAAAUAGCUCGUACUCCCCGAAAUGCAUUUAGGUGCAGCGUAUUAAUAGUUUUAUAGAGGUAGAGCUACUGAUUG